ensembl:snoRNA SNORA75 Small nucleolar RNA SNORA75
AUCUUCUCAUGAGCUCCUCUCUGUCUGAUGGUGACUGAGCAUGGAUUCGCACGAGAAGUAGAUUCACACUCGCAUUACUACGGGUCUCUCCUCUAUGAUGGGAGUUGCUUAUGUCUGAUGUGAGACAACU